CCUUUAGACCUGUGCAAUAUUGCUAUUUGAGCAACGCUUCAGGGUGGGAACACAGCAGAGCACUCGCUAGUAGUAUGUGCCGCAGCCAUCUGGAGGAAG
rnacentral:SRP_RNA from 2 species